rnacentral:rRNA from 1 species
CGACCGCUGGCGGCAUGCCUAACACAUGCAAGUCGACCGAGACCUUCGGGUCUAGUGGCGCCCGGGUGCGUAACGCGUGGGAACCUGCCCUUAGGUUCGGAAUAACUCCCCGAAAGGGGUGCUAAUACCGGAUAAUGUCUUCGGACCAAAGAUUUAUCGCCUUUGGAUGGGCCCGCGUUGGAUUAGCUAGUUGGUAGGGUAAAAGCCUACCAAGGCGACGAUCCAUAGGGGGUGUGAGAGGAUGAACGGCCCAUCUGGGACUGAGACGCGGCCCAUCCCCCGACGGGGGGCAGAGGGGGGGAAAGUGGGACCGGGGGCGAAAGCCUGAUCCACCGAUCCCGGGGGUGUGUUGAAGGCCAAGGGGUUGAAAAUCUCUUUUACCCGGGGUGAUAAGGCCAGCUCCGGAGAAAAGGCCCCCGGCCAACCCC